UACGAAGGGGGCUAGCGUUGCUCGGAAUCACUGGGCGUAAAGGGUGCGUAGGCGGGUUCUUAAGUCAGAGGUGAAAUCCUGGAGCCCAACUCCAGAACUGCCUUUGAUACUGAGAGUCUUGAGUAUGACAGAGGUGAGUGGAACUGCGAGUGUAGAGGUGAAAUUCGUAGAUAUUCGCAAGAACACCAGUGGCGAAGGCGGCUCACUGGGUCAUUACUGACGCUGAGGCACGAAAGCGUGGGGAGCAAACAGG
rnacentral:rRNA from 1 species